GGGUUGUGAGGUUAAGCGACUAAGCGUACACGGUGGAUGCCCUGGCAGUCAGAGGCGAUGAAGGACGUGCUAAUCUGCGAAAAGCGUCGGUAAGGUGAUAUGAACCGUUACAGCCGGCGAUGUCCGAAUGGGGAAACCCAGUGUGAUUCGUCACACUAUCGUUAACUGAAUACAUAGGUUAACGAGGCGAACCGGGGGAACUGAAACAUCUAAGUACCCCGAGGAAAAGAAAUCAACCGAGAUUCCCCCAGUAGCGGCGAGCGAACGGGGAGCAGCCCAGAGUCUGAAUCAGCUUGUGUGUUAGUGGAACGGUCUGGAAAGUCCGACGGUACAGGGUGAUAGUCCCGUACACCAAAAUGCACAGGCUGUGAACUCGAAGAGUAGGGCGGGACACGUGGUAUCCUGUCUGAAUAUGGGGGGACCAUCCUCCAAGGCUAAAUACUCCUGACUGACCGAUAGUGAACCAGUACCGUGAGGGAAAGGCGAAAAGAACCCCGGCGAGGGGAGUGAAAAAGAACCUGAAACCGUGUACGUACAAGCAGUGGGAGCACCUUCGGGUGUGACUGCGUACCUUUUGUAUAAUGGGUCAGCGACUUAUAUUCUGUAGCAAGGUUAACCGUAUAGGGGAGCCGCAGGGAAACCGAGUCUUAACUGGGCGUUAAGUUGCAGGGUAUAGACCCGAAACCCGGUGAUCUAGCCAUGGGCAGGUUGAAGGUUGGGUAACACUAACUGGAGGACCGAACCGACUAAUGUUGAAAAAUUAGCGGAUGACUUGUGGCUGGGGGUGAAAGGCCAAUCAAACCGGGAGAUAGCUGGUUCUCCCCGAAAGCUAUUUAGGUAGCGCCUCGUGAAUUCAUCUUCGGGGGUAGAGCACUGUUUCGGCUAGGGGGUCAUCCCGACUUACCAACCCGAUGCAAACUACGAAUACCGAAGAAUGUUAUCACGGGAGACACACGGCGGGUGCUAACGUCCGUCGUGAAGAGGGAAACAACCCAGACCGCCAGCUAAGGUCCCAAAGUCAUGGUUAAGUGGGAAACGAUGUGGGAAGGCACAGACAGCCAGGAUGUUGGCUUAGAAGCAGCCAUCAUUUAAAGAAAGCGUAAUAGCUCACUGGUCGAGUCGGCCUGCGCGGAAGAUGUAACGGGGCUAAACCAUGCACCGAAGCUGCGGCAGCGACACUAUGUGUUGUUGGGUAGGGGAGCGUUCUGUAAGCCUGCGAAGGUGUGCUGUGAGGCAUGCUGGAGGUAUCAGAAGUGCGAAUGCUGACAUAAGUAACGAUAAAGCGGGUGAAAAGCCCGCUCGCCGGAAGACCAAGGGUUCCUGUCCAACGUUAAUCGGGGCAGGGUGAGUCGACCCCUAAGGCGAGGCCGAAAGGCGUAGUCGAUGGGAAACAGGUUAAUAUUCCUGUACUUGGUGUUACUGCGAAGGGGGGACGGAGAAGGCUAUGUUAGCCGGGCGACGGUUGUCCCGGUUUAAGCAUGUAGGCUGGUUAUCCAGGCAAAUCCGGAUAAUCAAGGCUGAGGUGUGAUGACGAGGCACUACGGUGCUGAAGUAACAAAUGCCCUGCUUCCAGGAAAAGCCUCUAAGCAUCAGGUAACAUCAAAUCGUACCCCAAACCGACACAGGUGGUCAGGUAGAGAAUACCAAGGCGCUUGAGAGAACUCGGGUGAAGGAACUAGGCAAAAUGGUGCCGUAACUUCGGGAGAAGGCACGCUGGUGUGUAGGUGAAGUCCCUGCGGAUGGAGCUGAGACCAGUCGAAGAUACCAGCUGGCUGCAACUGUUUAUUAAAAACACAGCACUGUGCAAACACGAAAGUGGACGUAUACGGUGUGACGCCUGCCCGGUGCCGGAAGGUUAAUUGAUGGGGUUAUCCGUAAGGAGAAGCUCUUGAUCGAAGCCCCGGUAAACGGCGGCCGUAACUAUAACGGUCCUAAGGUAGCGAAAUUCCUUGUCGGGUAAGUUCCGACCUGCACGAAUGGCGUAAUGAUGGCCAGGCUGUCUCCACCCGAGACUCAGUGAAAUUGAACUCGCUGUGAAGAUGCAGUGUACCCGCGGCAAGACGGAAAGACCCCGUGAACCUUUACUAUAGCUUGACACUGAACAUUGAGCCUUGAUGUGUAGGAUAGGUGGGAGGCUUUGAAGCGUGGACGCCAGUCUGCGUGGAGCCAACCUUGAAAUACCACCCUUUAAUGUUUGAUGUUCUAACGUUGGCCCCUUACCGGGGUUGCGGACAGUGUCUGGUGGGUAGUUUGACUGGGGCGGUCUCCUCCCAAAGCGUAACGGAGGAGCACGAAGGUUAGCUAAUCCUGGUCGGACAUCAGGAGGUUAGUGCAAUGGCAUAAGCUAGCUUGACUGCGAGCGUGACGGCGCGAGCAGGUGCGAAAGCAGGUCAUAGUGAUCCGGUGGUUCUGAAUGGAAGGGCCAUCGCUCAACGGAUAAAAGGUACUCCGGGGAUAACAGGCUGAUACCGCCCAAGAGUUCAUAUCGACGGCGGUGUUUGGCACCUCGAUGUCGGCUCAUCACAUCCUGGGGCUGAAGUAGGUCCCAAGGGUAUGGCUGUUCGCCAUUUAAAGUGGUACGCGAGCUGGGUUUAGAACGUCGUGAGACAGUUCGGUCCCUAUCUGCCGUGGGCGCUGGAGAAUUGAGGGGGGCUGCUCCUAGUACGAGAGGACCGGAGUGGACGCAUCACUGGUGUUCGGGUUGUCAUGCCAAUGGCACUGCCCGGUAGCUAAAUGCGGAAGAGAUAAGUGCUGAAAGCAUCUAAGCACGAAACUUGCCCCGAGAUGAGUUCUCCCUGAGACUUUAAGUCUCCUGAAGGAACGUUGAAGACGACGACGUUGAUAGGCCGGGUGUGUAAGCGCAGCGAUGCGUUGAGCUAACCGGUACUAAUGAACCGUGAGGCUUAACCUUACAACGCCGAAG
rnacentral:rRNA from 1 species